AAAACAUGUCUUUUUGAGUUUAAUUUAAAGUCUAGUCUGCCCACUGAUUUAAAAUAAUUAAAGGGCUGCAGUAUUUUGACUGUACAAAGGUAGCAUAAUCAUUAGUCUCUUAAUUGGUGACUUGUAUGAAGGAUUUGAUGAAAUAUAAACUGUCUCUUAUUAAUUUAUAAAAUUUAAUUUUUUAGUAAAAAAGCUAAAAUAAUUUUAAAAGACGAGAAGACCCUAUAGAGUUUUAUAAUAAAUUUAAUUAUAUUUUUUAUAUAAAUAUUUUAUUUUUAAUAAAAUUUAUUAUUUUAUUGGGGUGAUAGAAAAAUUUAAUAAACUUUUUUUAAAAAUAAAACAUAAAUAAGUGAAUGUAUGAUCCGUUAUUAACGAUUAUAAGAAUAAAUUACCUUAGGGAUAACAGCGUAAUUUUUUUUUUUAGUUCAAAUAAAAAAAAAAGUUUGCGACCUCGAUGUUGGAUUAAGAUAAAAUUUAAAUGCAAAAGUUUAAAAUUUUGAUCUGUUCGAUCAUUAAAAUCUUACAUGAUCUGA
rnacentral:rRNA from 1 species